UAAAUCAUUGAUAGUUUGGGUUGUC
rnacentral:piRNA from 1 species